rnacentral:rRNA from 1 species
AUGGGUCAGCGACUUACGUUCAAUGGCAAGCUUAACCGAGUAGGGGAGGCGCAGCGAAAGCGAGUCCGAACAGGGCGACAUGAGUCGUUGGGCGUAGACCCGAAACCAGAUGAUCUAUCCAUGGCCAGGCUGAAGGUGUGGUAACACACACUGGAGGGCCGAACCGACUAGUGUUGCAAAAUUAGCGGAUGAGCUGUGGAUAGGGGUGAAAGGCUAAACAAAUCUGGAGAUAGCUGGUUCUCCCCGAAAACUAUUGAGGUAGUGCCUCGUGUAUGGCUCCAGGGGGUAGAGCACUGUUAUGGCUAGGGGGACAUGGCGUCUUACCAAACCAUGGCAAACUCCGAAUACUUGGAAGUCUGAGCACGGGAGACAGAGCACCGGGUGCUAACGUCCGGACUCAAAAGGGAAACAACCCAGACCGCCGGCUAAGGUCCCUAAUAUUGACUAAGUGGAAAACGAAGUGGGAAGGCUAAGACAGUCAGGAAGUUGGCUUAGAAGCAGCCAUCCUUCAAAGAAAGCGUAAUAGCUCACUGAUCGAGUCUUCCUGCGCGGAAGAUGUAACGGGGCUAAGUCAAUAACCGAAGCCGCGGAUUCGCAGCAAUGCGAGUGGUAGGGGAGCGUUCUGUAAGCCUGCGAAGGCGGAUCCGCGAGGACCGCUGGAGGUAUCAGAAGUGCGAAUGCUGACAUGAGUAACGUUAAAGCGGGUGAAAAGCCCGCUCGCCGCAAGCCCAAGGUUUCCUGCUCUACGUUCAUCGGAGCAGGGUGAGUCGGCCCCUAAGGUCAGGCUGAGAAGCGUAGCUGAUGGGAAGCUGGUUAAUAUUCCAGCACCGAUUUCAAGUGCGAAGGGGGGACGGAGUCCUGAAGGUCAUCCGGGUGUUGGAUAUCCCGGUUUACGAGCGUAGGAGGUUGACAGGCAAAUCCGUCAACGGAUCUCCAAGGCGAAGGAUCGAGGUUGAGAGAUCAACUGAAGUGACUGAAUGGGCUUCCAGGAAAAGCCUCUAAGCAUCAGCUUGGAAUUGACCGUACCGCAAACCGACACUGGUGGGCGAGCUGAAUAUGCUCAGGCGCUUGAGAGAACUCAGGAGAAGGAACUCGGCAAAUUGACACCGUAACUUCGGGAUAAGGUGUGCCUUUGUAGUGUGAAGAGAGAAACACUCCGAGCAUGAAGAGGCCUCAGAGAAUCGGUGGCUGCAACUGUUUACUAAAAACACAGCACUCUGCAAAGAUGAAAGUCGACGUAUAGGGUGUGAUGCCUGCCCGGUGCUGGAAGAUUAAUUGAUGGGGUGCAAGCUCCUGAUCGAAGUCCCAGUAAACGGCGGCCGUAACUAUAACGGUCCUAAGGUAGCGAAAUUCCUUGUCGGGCAAGUUCCGACCUGCACGAAUGGCAUAAUGAUGGCCACACUGUCUCCUCCUGAGACUCAGUGAAGUUGAAAUGUUUGUGAUGAUGCAAUCUCCCCGCGGCUAGACGGAAAGACCCCAUGAACCUUUACUGCAGCUUUGCAUUGGACUUUGAACCGAUCUGUGUAGGAUAGGUGGGAGGCAGUGAAGCUAGGACGCCAGUCUUAGCGGAGCCAACCUUGAAAUACCACCCUGAUUUGUUUGAGGUUCUAACCUAGGAGCGUAAUCCGCUUCGGGGACCGUGCAUGGUAGGCAGUUUGACUGGGGCGGUCUCCUCCUAAAGGGUAACGGAGGAGUGCGAAGGUACGCUAGGUACGGUCGGAAAUCGUGCUGAUAGUGCAAUGGCAAAAGCGUGCUUGACUGCGAGACCGACAAGUCGAGCAGAUACGAAAGUAGGUCAUAGUGAUCCGGUGGCUCUGCAUGGAAGGGCCAUCGCUCAACGGAUAAAAGGUACUCUGGGGAUAACAGGCUGAUACCGCCCAAGAGUUCAUAUCGACGGCGGUGUUUGGCACCUCGAUGUCG